UACGAGGGGGGCAAGUGUUGUUCGGAAUUACUGGGCGUAAAGCGCACGUAGCCGGUCUUUUAAGUCGGUGGUGAAAUCCUGGAGCUCAACUCCAGAACUGCCUUCGAUACUGGAAGACUUGAGUCCGGGAGAGGUGAGUGGAACUGCGAGUGUAGAGGUGAAAUUCGUAGAUAUUCGCAAGAACACCAGUGGCGAAGGCGGCUCACUGGCCCGGUACUGACGCUGAGGUGCGAAAGCGUGGGGAGCAAACAGG
rnacentral:rRNA from 1 species